AGCUCCUAAGGAUGUUGUGGUGUGGGCUGGAGAUGAGGUACUACAACAGAAAUGUAAUUUUAGUGAGAUGGCACCAUGCUUGGUGCAUGUCUGUGGAUGGAACCCAAGUGCUCCUGCCCCGUGCUAGAAUCACACCUGCAGAUCAACAGCUCCUUCCUAAGGAAAUAAAGCCCUAAGCUGGAAAGAGUUCAUGGAGCAAAGCUCGGCCUUCCUGAGAGCUGUCAUCUCCAAUGGGGGCCAUGGUUUGCAGCAGCAGGCUGAAGGGCCGCAGCAGCACUGGAGCAGCAAAGCAGCCUUCUCUCCAUCCCAGAGGGAUCUGCAUGCACUCCUGCACCCUGUAAGAGUCGCUGCCGCCAGCACCACGUGGCCAUGAGGUUUGUCACUCCUCCCAGAAGUUUCUGUGAGUUUUGCACUGGACUGUGAAAUCCCCGCUCUCCAUCCAAAGCAGGCGAGGCUGCCCUGUCCUGAAAUAGCAGUGCCUUUACCUUGGGCAAAGAUGUGAGAGGAGGUCUUGCUAGGGAACUGUGAACAUCUUCCUGGGCACAAGUAAGAGAAAUCUGUCUCUGCAGGAAACUGUGUGCCCAGGGGUGGGUGGAUCGAGGCUCACAGCUUGCUCGUAUUUCCCCCACAGUCAUAGAAACAAACAUCCGCCAUCUGGUCGGCAUUAAAGCGGAGGCCGGGAAGAGGAUCCCACACGUCCUCAUCUUCUCCUCCCCAGCAAUUACCUUCCUUUUGGCACCAUCUGAGAGCCUUCUCCUUCCUAUUUGAUAUUCCAUCUCCAUCCUGUUCCCAUGCAGAUGCUGUUUCCUGCCCAGCAGCACUGGCAGUGCCUGGUGUCAUCCAAUGGGGACGUGAGAUCAGGUCCAACCUCCCCAAACCGGCCCUGCAGUCACACGGGGCUCGGGGCAGAACGCUGCUGGGGCUGGUCAGUGUCUAAGAGUGGUCUGCUCUGGGGUGUGUGCUGAGGCACAGGGAUGGGGCGGAAGCAAUGAGUCUCCAGUCCUCUUUUCUUUCUGAAGGUUUUGGUGGAUUGGAGCUGUCCGCACACGGGGUUCUGCUCCCCAGCCCCGACUCAGCUGCUUGCACUCAAAAUUCAGAGAAACCCCUGACAGCCACAGCUCAGCCAGUCCUGGCCUUUCAGAUAACCUUCCCACUUGUAAAUUAAUCAGGGUUUUCAACACAAACACCAGAAAGUUUAAUGCUCAAGUUGAUUGAAGGGGG
rnacentral:lncRNA from 7 species